GCCGGAGCAAGAACAACAGGGAUUGCCUUAGUAGCGGCGAGUGAAGCGGCAAAAGCUCAAAUUUGAAAUCUGGCUCUUUCAGAGUCCGAGUUGUAAUUUGAAGAAGGUAUCUUUGGGUCUGGCUCUUGUCUAUGUUUCUUGGAACAGAACGUCACAGAGGGUGAGAAUCCCGUGCGAUGAGAUGAUCCAGGCCUAUGUAAAGUUCCUUCGAAGAGUCGAGUUGUUUGGGAAUGCAGCUCUAAGUGGGUGGUAAAUUCCAUCUAAAGCUAAAUAUUGGCGAGAGACCGAUAGCGAACAAGUACAGUGAUGGAAAGAUGAAAAGAACUUUGAAAAGAGAGUGAAAAAGUACGUGAAAUUGUUGAAAGGGAAGGGCUUGAGAUCAGACUUGGUAUUUUGUAUGUUACUUCUUCGGGGGUGGCCUCUACAGUUUAUCGGGCCAGCAUCAGUUUGGGCGGUAGGAGAAUUGCGUUGGAAUGUGGCACGGCUUCGGAUGUGUGUUAUAGCCUUCGUCGAUACUGCCAGCCUAGACUGAGGACUGCGGUUUAUACCUAGGAUGUUGGCAUAAUGAUCUUAAGUCGCCCGUCUCAACACACGAAACAACA
rnacentral:rRNA from 1 species